ensembl:misc_RNA 7SK 7SK RNA
GGGUGUGAGGGUGAUCGGGCUACAUCUGUCACCCCAUUGAUCACCAAGAUUGAUCUGGCUGAUCUGGCUGGCUAAGCAGGUAACCCCUUCUGCCCUCACCACUCCAUGUACAUCCCUCCUGAAGCUGCAUGCUUAGUCUAAGAAAGGACCCGCACGCUCCCAUAGAGGAGGACCAUUUCCAUCAGUCAGGGUAUAAGAGUAGCUGUGCUCCCCUACUAGAGCCUCCAAACAAGGUCACAAGAAAUGAUUUGCAUAAGGUCACAUAUGGUAAACAGUCAAAAGUCAAAUUCAAACCCUUU